rnacentral:rRNA from 1 species
GACGAACGCUGGCGGCGUGCUUAACACAUGCAAGUCGAACGGAAAGGCCCUGCUUUUGUGGGGUGCUCGAGUGGCGAAAGGGUGAGUAACACGUGAGUAACCUGCCCUUGACUUUGGGAUAACUUCAGGAAACUGGGGCUAAUACCGGAUAGGAGCUCCUGCUGCGUGGUGGGGGUUGGAAAGUUUCGGCGGUUGGGGAUGGACUCGCGGCUUAUCAGCUUGUUGGUGGGGUAGUGGCUUACCAAGGCUUUGACGGGUAGCCGGCCUGAGAGGGUGACCGGCCACAUUGGGACUGAGAUACCGCCCAGACUCCUACGGGAGGCAGCAGUGGGGAAUAUUGCACAAUGGGCGGAAGCCUGAUGCAGCAACGCCGCGUGCGGGAUGACGGCCUUCGGGUUGUAAACCGCUUUCGCCUGUGACGAAGCGUGAGUGACGGUAAUGGGUAAAGAAGCACCGGCUAACUACGUG